rnacentral:rRNA from 1 species
UACGAAGGGGGCUAGCGUUGCUCGGAAUCACUGGGCGUAAAGGGUGCGUAGGCGGGUCUUUAAGUCAGGGGUGAAAUCCUGGAGCUCAACUCCAGAACUGCCUUCGAUACUGACGAUCUCGAGUCCGGGAGAGGUGAGUGGAACUCCGAGUGUAGAGGUGAAAUUCGUAGAUAUUCGGAAGAACACCAGUGGCGAAGGCGGCUCACUGGCCCGGUACUGACGCUGAGGUGCGAAAGCGUGGGGAGCAAACAGG